rnacentral:rRNA from 1 species
GGUACUAAGUAUACGAGAAGUAGGGCGGGACACGUGAAAUCCUGUCUGAAUAUGGGGGGACCAUCCUCUAAGGCUAAAUACUCAUCAUCGACCGAUAGUGAACCAGUACCGUGAGGGAAAGGCGAAAAGAACCCCGGAAGGGGAGUGAAAUAGAACCUGAAACCUGAUGCAUACAUACAGUGGGAGCAUCUUUGUGGUGUGACUGCGUACCUUUUGUAUAAUGGGUCAACGACUUACAUUCAGUAGCGAGCUUAACCGAGUAGGGGAGGCGUAGGGAAACCGAGUCUUAAUAGGGCGACUAGUUGCUGGGUGUAGACCCGAAACUGAGUGAUCUAUCCAUGGCCAGGAUGAAGGUGCGGUAAAACGCAUUGGAGGUCCGAACCCACGCAUGUUGCAAAAUGCGGGGAUGAGCUGUGGAUAGGGGUGAAAGGCUAAACAAACUCGGAGAUAGCUGGUUCUCCCCGAAAACUAUUUAGGUAGUGCCUCGAGUAUGAGACUGAUGGGGGUAAAGCACUGUUAUGGCUAGGGGGUUAUUGCAACUUACCAACCCAUGGCAAACUAAGAAUACCAUCAAGUUGCUCCUCGGGAGACAGACAUCGGGUGCUAACGUCCGGUGUCAAGAGGGAAACAACCCAGACCGCCAGCUAAGGUCCCAAAUGAUAGAUUAAGUGGUAAACGAAGUGGGAAGGCACAGACAGCCAGGAUGUUGGCUUAGAAGCAGCCAUCAUUUAAAGAAAGCGUAAUAGCUCACUGGUCGAGUCUUCCUGCGCGGAAGAUGUAACGGGGCUCAAAUCUAUAACCGAAGCUGCGGAUAUACUUUUGUAUAUGGUAGGGGAGCGUUCUGUAAGCCUGUGAAGGUGACUUGUAAAGGUUGCUGGAGGUAUCAGAAGUGCGAAUGUUGACAUGAGUAGCGAUAAAGUGGGUGAAAAGCCCGCUCGCCGAAAGCCCAAGGUUUCCUACGCAACGUUCAUCGGCGUAGGGUGAGUCGGCCCCUAAGGCGAGGCAGAAAUGCGUAGUCGAUGGGAAACAGGUUAAUAUUCCUGUACUUUGAUUCAAUGCGAUGUGGGGACGGAGAAGGUUAGGUUAGCAAACUGUUGGAAUAGUUUGUUUAAGCUAGUAGGUGGAAAGAGUAGGCAAAUCCGCUCUUUCUUAACACCGAGACGUGAUGACGAGUGUCUACGGACAUGAAGUGACCAAUACCACGCUUCCAGGAAAAGCCACUAAGCUUCAGUUGAAUCAGAACCGUACCGCAAACCGACACAGGUGGGCAGGAUGAGAAUUCUAAGGCGCUUGAGAGAACUCGGGAGAAGGAACUCGGCAAAUUGAUACCGUAACUUCGGGAGAAGGUAUGCCCUCUAAUGUUAAGGACUUGCUCCGUAAGCAUCUGAGGGUCGCAGAGAAUCGGUGGCUGCGACUGUUUAUUAAAAACACAGCACUCUGCUAACACGAAAGUGGACGUAUAGGGUGUGACGCCUGCCCGGUGCUGGAAGGUUAAUUGAAGAUGUGCAAGCAUCGGAUCGAAGCCCCAGUAAACGGCGGCCGUAACUAUAACGGUCCUAAGGUAGCGAAAUUCCUUGUCGGGUAAGUUCCGACCCGCACGAAUGGCGUAACGAUGGCCACACUGUCUCCUCCCGAGACUCAGCGAAGUUGAAAUGGUUGUGAAGAUGCAAUCUCCCCGCUGCUAGACGGAAAGACCCCGUGAACCUUUACUGUAGCUUUGCAUUGGACUUUGAAGUCACUUGUGUAGGAUAGGUGGGAGGCUUUGAAGCAGAGACGCCAGUCUCUGUGGAGCCGUCCUUGAAAUACCACCCUGGUGACUUUGAGGUUCUAACCCAGACCCGUUAUCCGGGUCGGGGACCGUGCAUGGUAGGCAGUUUGACUGGGGCGGUCUCCUCCCAAAGAGUAACGGAGGAGUUCGAAGGUUACCUAGGUCCGGUCGGAAAUCGGACUGAUAGUGCAAUGGCAAAAGGUAGCUUAACUGCGAGACCGACAAGUCGAGCAGGUGCGAAAGCAGGACAUAGUGAUCCGGUGGUUCUGAAUGGAAGGGCCAUCGCUCAACGGAUAAAAGGUACUCCGGGGAUAACAGGCUGAUUCCGCCCAAGAGUCCAUAUCGACGGCGGAGUUUGGCACCUCGAUGUCGGCUCAUCACAUCCUGGGGCUGUAGUCGGUCCCAAGGGUAUGGCUGUUCGCCAUUUAAAGUGGUACGUGAGCUGGGUUUAAAACGUCGUGAGACAGUUUGGUCCCUAUCUGCAGUGGGCGUUGGAAGUUUGACGGGGGCUGCUCCUAGUACGAGAGGACCGGAGUGGACGAACCUCUGGUGUACCGGUUGUUUCGCCAGAAGCAUAGCCGGGUAGCUAAGUUCGGAAGAGAUAAGCGCUGAAAGCAUCUAAGCGCGAAACUCGCCCAAAGAUGAGACUUCCCUUGUGGUUUAACCAUACUAAAGAGUCGUUCGAGACCAGGACGUUGAUAGGUUGGGUGUGGAAGAGUGGUAACACUUGAAGCUAACCAAUACUAAUUGCUCGUGAGGCUUGACUCU